rnacentral:rRNA from 9 species
CGGAUGCGAUCAUACCAGCACUAA